rnacentral:rRNA from 1 species
AGAGUUUGAUCGUAGCUCAGGGUGAAUGCUGGCGGUGUGCCUAAGGCAUGCAAGUCGAAUGCCGACUUUCGGGUUGGCAUGGCAGACGGGUGAGUAACGCGUACGAAUCUACCCUUUUCUGAAGAAUAACCCCAAGAAAUUGGGGAUAAUGCUUCAUAGUUCCCUCCGGGGUAAAGCACGUAACUGUGCGGAAAAGGAGGAGCGUGCGUCCUAUCAGCUUGUUGGUGAGGUAAAGGCUCACCAAGGCAAACGGGUAGCUGGCUUGAGAGAGUGGUCAGCCACAAGGACACUGAAACACGGGUCCUACUCCUACGGGAGGCAGCAGCUAGGAAUCUUGCGCAAUGGGCGAAAGCCUGACGCAGCGACACCGCGUGCGGGAUGAAGGUCGAGAGAUCGUAAACCGCUAAUACCUCACAUACGUGAGGAGACAAGCACCGGCUAACUUCGUGCCAGCAGCAGCGGUAAAACGGAGGGUGCAAGCAUUACCCGGAAUUACUGGGCGUAUAGGGCCCGCAGGCGGUUUGUUAAGUUUUCGGUUAAAGCCCUCGACUCAAUCGAGGAAAGGCCGGGAUUACUGGCAAACUAGAGUGGAUCUGGAGCUACUGGAACUUGCCGUGUNAGGGUGAAAUCCAUGGAUAUGGCAAGGAACACCAAGGGCGAAGGCGGGUAGCCAAGAUCUUACUGACGCUAAAGGACUAAAGCUAGGGUAGCGAACUGGAUUAGAGACCCAGGUAGUUCUAGCCUUAAACGAUGCUCGCUAGUUGUUGGGACUCGAUUUAUCGGGGUUCGGUGACGUAGUUAACGCGUUAAGCGAGCCGCCUGGGGAGUAUGGCCGCAAGGCUAAAACUCAAACGAAUUGACGGGGAGGCGCACAACCAGUGGAUUAUGUGGUUUAAUUCGAUACAAAGCGAUGAACCUUACCUGGGCUUGACAUCUUGCUUAUGCUUUUUCGAAAGAUUUAAGCUUAGUGGCAAGACAGCUGGUGCAUGGCUGUCGUCAGCUCGUGUCGUGAGACGUUCUCUUAAGUGAGGCAACGAGCGUAACCCUUGCCGUAUGUUUUACAUGUCAUGCGGGACUGCCUCGGCUUUUCGUCGGGGAGGAAGGAGAGGAUGACGUCAAGUCAGCAUGUCGCUUAUGCUCAGGGCAACACACAUUAUACAAUGGCCUAGACAAUGGGUCGCCAAACCGCGAGGUGGAGCUAAUCUCAUCAAACUAGGUCUCAGUGGGGAUUGCAGGCUGCAACUCGCCUGCAUGAACGCGGAAUUGGUAGUAAUCGGGAGUCAGCAUAUCUCGGUGAAUACGUUCCCGCCUCUUGUACACACUGCCCGUCAACUGAGCCGAGUUGACAGCACCCGAAGAUCUAAUAUUCAUUGGAUUUAAGGUGAGGUCAGCAAGGAGCGGUAAGUCGUAACAAGG